rnacentral:rRNA from 1 species
UAACACGUGGGUGAUCUGCCUCGCACUCUGGGAUAAGCCUGGGAAACUGGGUCUAAUACCGGAUAUGACCACGAAUCGCAUGGUUUGUGGUGGAAAGAUUUAUCGGUGCGAGAUGGGCCCGCGGCCUAUCAGCUUGUUGGUGGGGUAAUGGCCUACCAAGGCGACGACGGGUAGCCGACCUGAGAGGGUGACCGGCCACACUGGGACUGAGACACGGCCCAGACUCCUACGGGAGGCAGCAGUGGGGAAUAUUGCACAAUGGGCGGAAGCCUGAUGCAGCGACGCCGCGUGAGGGAUGACGGCCUUCGGGUUGUAAACCUCUUUCGACAGGGACGAAGCGCAAGUGACGGUACCUGUAGAAGAAGCACCGGCCAACUACGUGCCAGCAGCCGCGGUAAUACGUAGGGUGCGAGCGUUGUCCGGAAUUACUGGGCGUAAAGAGCUUGUAGGCGGUUCGUCGCGUCGAUUGUGAAAACUUGCAGCUCAACUGCAAGCUUGCAGUCGAUACGGGCGGACUAGAGUACUUCAG